AUUGAACGCUGACAGCAGACGUAACACAUGCCAGUCGAGCGAGCGGCGGACGGGUGAGUAAUGUCUGGGAAACUGCCUGAUGGAGGGGGAUAACUACUGGAAACGGUAGCUAAUACCGCAUACCAUCAGAUGUGCCCAGAUGGGAUUAGCUAGUCGGUGGGGUAAUGGCUCACCUAGGCGACGAUGCCUAGCUGGUCGGAGAGGAUGACCAGCCACACUUGAACUGUGAAACGGGCCAGACUCCUACGGGAGUGAGCAGUGGGGAAUAUUGCACAAUGGGCGCAAGCCUGAUGCAGCCAGGCCGCGUGUGUGAAGAAGGCCUUCGGGUUGUAAAGUACUUUCAGCGGGGAGGCGUUACCGGCACAAGAAGCACCGGCUAACUGCGUGCCAGCCGCCGCGGUAAUUC
rnacentral:rRNA from 1 species